CAGCACCCGUGGAAGCUCACCAGAACCAGAUGAGGUUCACUUCCCCAUUUUACCUUUGCCGAAAUUAGACACAGAGAGGAGAUUUUACCCAGUGAGAACAUGUUUAGGACACUUUUCUACAGUGGAAGAAAAGCUUCUGUCUGCAGGUCCAAAGGCACCGUCCUGAGUUGGAAAAAGAUGAAUCAGACCCAGUCCCUCCCUGGAGUUGCUCAGAGGUCUGGAGGAGAAAGGCAUAGAGGUACGAUGUCUUCGUAUGCUCACCGUGCCCCAAAUUCGGUUUUCACUUGCAUCCGAGGGUACUGUCUGAGAGAAGGGCAAAAGCCA
rnacentral:lncRNA from 1 species